UACGAAGGGUGCAAGCGUUACUCGGAAUUACUGGGCGUAAAGCGUGCGUAGGUGGUUUGUUAAGUCUGUUGUGAAAGCCCCGGGCUCAACCUGGGAAUGGCAAUGGAUACUGGCAAGCUAGAGUGCGGUAGAGGGUAGUGGAAUUCCCGGUGUAGCGGUGAAAUGCGUAGAGAUCGGGAGGAGCACCAGUGGCGAAGGCGGGUCUCUGGGCCGAUACUGACGCUGAGGAGCGAAAGCGUGGGGAGCGAACAGG
rnacentral:rRNA from 1 species